rnacentral:rRNA from 1 species
AGUGAACGCUGGCGGUAGGCCUAACACAUGCAAGUCGAACGGCAGCACAGUAAGAGCUUGCUCUUACGGGUGGCGAGUGGCGGACGGGUGAGGAAUACAUCGGAAUCUACUUUUUCGUGGGGGAUAACGUAGGGAAACUUACGCUACUACCGCAUACGACCUACGGGUGAAAGCAGGGGAUCUUCGGACCUUGCGCGAUUGAAUGAGCCGAUGUCGGAUUAGCUAGUUGGCGGGGUAAAGGCCCACCAAGGCGACGAUCCGUAGCUGGUCUGAGAGGAUGAUCAGCCACACUAGAACUGAGACAAGGUCCAGACUCCUACGGGAGGCAGCAGUGGGGAAUAUUGGACAAUGGGAGCAAGCCUGAUCCAGACAUACCGCGUGGGUGAAGAAGGCCUGCGGGUUGUAAAGCCCUUUUGUUGGGAAAGAAAAGCAGCAGGUUAAUACCCCGCUGUUCUGACGGUACCCAAAGAAUAAGCACCGGCUAACUUCGUG